GAUGAACGCUAGCUACAGGCUUAACACAUGCAAGUCGAGGGGUAACGAGAGGAAAGCUUGCUUUCCUUGUCGACGACCGGCGCACGGGUGAGUAACGCGUAUCCAACCUGCCCCCAACUAAGGAAUAACCUUGCGAAAGUAAGACUAAUACCUUAUAAUUUCCUCAGAUGUCAUCUGACGAGGAAUAAAGAUUUAUCGGUUGUGGAUGGGGAUGCGUCUGAUUAGCUUGUUGGCGGGGUAACGGCCCACCAAGGCAACGAUCAGUAGGGGUUCUGAGAGGAAGGUCCCCCACAUUGGAACUGAGACACGGUCCAAACUCCUACGGGAGGCAGCAGUGAGGAAUAUUGGUCAAUGGGCGAAAGCCUGAACCAGCCAAGUAGCGUGCAGGAUAACGGCCCUAUGGGUUGUAAACUGCUUUUAUACAGGAAUAAAGUUAGCCACGUGUGGUUAUUUGUAGGUACUGUAUGAAUAAGGACCGGCUAAUUCCGUGCCAGCCGCCGCGGUAA
rnacentral:rRNA from 1 species